GAUGAACGCUGGCGGCGUGCCUAAUACAUGCAAGUCGAGCGAACGGACGAGAAGCUUGCUUCUCUGACGUUAGCGGCGGACGGGUGAGUAACACGUGGAUAACCUACCUAUAAGACUGGGAUAACUUCGGGAAACCGGAGCUAAUACCGGAUAAUAUUUUGAACCGCAUGGUUCAAAAGUGAAAGACGGUCUUGCUGUCACUUAUAGAUGGAUCCGCGCCGCAUUAGCUAGUUGGUAAGGUAACGGCUUACCAAGGCAACGAUGCGUAGCCGACCUGAGAGGGUGAUCGGCCACACUGGAACUGAGACACGGUCCAGACUCCUACGGGAGGCAGCAGUAGGGAAUCUUCCGCAAUGGGCGAAAGCCUGACGGAGCAACGCCGCGUGAGUGAUGAAGGUCUUCGGAUCGUAAAACUCUGUUAUUAGGGAAGAACAUAUGUGUAAGUAACUGUGCACGUCUUGACGGUACCUAAUCAGAAAGCCACGGCUAACUACGUG
rnacentral:rRNA from 1 species